ensembl:lncRNA
UUCCUCUCCCCUCCUCUCGUUCUCCCUCUCACAGUCCCUCCUCAUUCUCCCCUCUCUCUCUCUUGGAGGUAAACCCCCCUCCCCUAUCUCCCCAUCUCAGCCUUAUGACAUGCAAACACAUGUUGUUCUCUGCUGGGUUUUCUUCUGUCGGCUGAAGGGACCAGUGGCAGUAUCACAGGGCUCAUAGUGGACACUGGGAUGCUGGGGUCUGGGUUCUGGGUUCUGGAGUCUGGGGUCUGGGGUCUGGACAGUUCAUCUUUCCCUCCUCAACAACCUCUCCUGCACAGUGUCUCAGACACAGGAAACAUUGGCCAGAACUGACCACCGAGGCUUCAUGAUAGGAUCUCCAACCCGUUACCAUGGCGAUGUGUGAAAGACCAGUAGACACUCUUCCAGUCAGUCAUCAACCCCCUCACAGACACGGACAGACUCUGGACACAGUGACCGUUCUACUGGAGGAUAUACAGGGUCACCGUGAGGUUGAAGGUCAGGGUCAGGGGGUUGAGGUUACCUCUGUAGUGCAGUGUUGUGAUGGCCUGAGCCCCAUGUCCACACCACCUCCCCUGGGGGAAUCAGGAGACCCAGAGCCCAUGAACAGUGGAUCUACUCAGGCUCAAACCACAACGAACAGAGAUCUAGAUGAGGUGGACAUGGACCAUACGCAUCCCUGUGAAGCAGAUCCCAUAGAGAGUGGACUGACCCUGGAUCAGACGUGGGACAUGUACGAGGUGGACCAAACCUCCACGAUGAGCUGUGAUACUGAGGUGGAGCUUGGGACGGGGACUGAGACUACUCCACACAUACAGGUGUGUCCUACAGAGUCUGGUCUGGUCACAGAGGUGAAUGGACGCUCUGGGAAACAACAUGGUAGAGAGCCUGUAGAGGAGAGGGAGAGGCCUAAGGAGACCCCUUCUCCACCCUCCUCUCCAGUCUCCUCUCUGCCCCUCUCUCCUGGCCAGACUCUGGGACAUGUUGCCCUUGAUACCCCCCAGGAAAGGUGUCUAGAUGCCCCAGGGCCAGGCAAGGGUAGUUCCAUGGACCUGUUCUGUAUCGUAAAACACAAACCCAGCGCUAUCGUGUUCUCUGGAGACGACAACAUCGACAACGUCAGCCCAACUAGAGUCUUCG